UUUCAAACUUGAUCACUACCUCUGCAUAAUGUGGCAGAAGCUAAGGGAACCAGGUUUGCUAAAGUAACUUUGGUGAUAGGAAUGUAUUAGCUUUAGAAACUACUGCUGCCCAUUUUAUCCUUGUACAGUA
ensembl:snoRNA SNORA66 Small nucleolar RNA SNORA66